rnacentral:rRNA from 1 species
AGAGUUUGAUCCUGGCUCAGGAUGAACGCUGGCGGCGUGCCUAACACAUGCAAGUCGAGCGAGAUUUAGUGGAGUGGAGACUUCGGUCAAAGUGAAGCUAAUGAAUAGCAACCUGCCCUGUACGGGGGGAUAGCCACUGGAAACGGUGAUUAAUACCCCAUAAACCCACAAGACCGCAUGGUCAAAUGGGCAAAGCCACAAGCGGUACAGGAUGGGCUCGCGUCUGAUUAGCUAGUUGGUGAGGUAACGGCUCACCAAGGCGACGAUCAGUAGCCGACCUGAGAGGGUGACCGGCCACACUGGAACUGAGACACGGUCCAGACUCCUACGGGAGGCAGCAGUGGGGAAUCUUCCGCAAUGGGCGAAAGCCUGACGGAGCAACGCCGCGUGAGGGAAGAAGGCUUUCGGGUUGUAAACCUCUGUCCUAUGGGAAGAAAAAAAUGACGGUACCAUAGGAGGAAGCCCCGGCUAACUACGUGCCAGCAGCCGCGGUAAUACGUAGGGGGCGAGCGUUGUCCGGAAUUACUGGGCGUAAAGGGUGCGUAGGUGGCCUUUUAAGUUGGAUGUGAAAUACCCGGGCUUAACCUGGGGGGUGCAUCUAAUACUGGGAGGCUAGAGUGCAGGAGAGGAAAGCGGAAUUCCUAGUGUAGCGGUGAAAUGCGUAGAUAUUAGGAGGAACACCAGUGGCGAAGGCGGCUUUCUGGACUGUAACUGACACUGAGGCACGAAAGCGUGGGGAGCAAACAGGAUUAGAUACCCUGGUAGUCCACGCGGUAAACGAUGAAUACUAGGUGUAGGGGGUAUCAACUCCCCCUGUGCCGGAGCUAACGCAAUAAGUAUUCCGCCUGGGGAGUACGGCCGCAAGGUUGAAACUCAAAGGAAUUGACGGGGGCCCGCACAAGCAGCGGAGCAUGUGGUUUAAUUCGAAGCAACGCGAAGAACCUUACCAAGGCUUGACAUCCACUUAAACGCAUGGAAACAUGCGGUCUCUUCGGAGGAAGUGAGACAGGUGGUGCAUGGUUGUCGUCAGCUCGUGUCGUGAGAUGUUGGGUUAAGUCCCGCAACGAGCGCAACCCUUGUCUUUAGUUGCCAUCAUUCAGUUGGGCACUCUAGAGAGACUGCCGGUGACAAACCGGAGGAAGGUGGGGAUGACGUCAAAUCAUCAUGCCCCUUAUGUCCUGGGCUACACACGUGCUACAAUGGCCGGUACAAAGGGUUGCCAACCCGCGAGGGGGAGCUAAUCCCAUAAAGCCAGUCGUAGUCCGGAUCGUAGUCUGCAACUCGCCUACAUGAAGUCGGAAUCGCUAGUAAUCGUGGAUCAGAAUGUCACGGUGAAUACGUUCCCGGGUCUUGUACACACCGCCCGUCACACCAUGGGAGCGGGUUCUGCCAGAAGUAGUUAGCCUAACCGCAAGGAGGGCGAUUACCACGGCAGGGUUCGUGACUGGGGUGAAGUCGUAACAAGGUAACC